rnacentral:rRNA from 1 species
AUUGAACGCUGGCGGCAGGCCUAACACAUGCAAGUCGAACGAGUGGCGGACGGGUGAGUAAUGUCUGGGAAACUGCCUGAUGGAGGGGGAUAACUACUGGAAACGGUAGCUAAUACCGCAUACCAUCAGAUGUGCCCAGAUGGGAUUAGCUUGUUGGUGGGGUAACGGCUCACCAAGGCCACGAUGCAUAGACGACCUGAGAGGAUGACCAGCAAAACUGAAACUUGUACACGGUACAGAAUCCUACGUGAGGUAGCAGUGGGGAAUAUUGCACAAUAGGCGCAAGCCUGAUGCAGCAAUGCCGGGUGUAUGAAGAAGGCCUUCGGGUUGUAAAGUACUUUCAGCGUGGAGGCGUUACCCGCAUAAGAAGCACCGGCUAACUCCGUGCCAGCAGCCGCGGUAAUUC